rnacentral:rRNA from 1 species
UACGUAGGGGGCGAGCGUUAUCCGGAAUCACUGGGCGUAAAGGGUGCGUAGGCGGCCGAUAAAGUCAGGGGUGAAAGGCUACGGCUUAACCGUAGUAAGCCUUUGAAACUUAUUGGCUUGAGUGCAGGAGAGGAGAGUGGAAUUCCUAGUGUAGCGGUGAAAUGCGUAGAUAUUAGGAGGAACACCAGUGGCGAAGGCGACUCUCUGGACUGUAACUGACGCUGAGGCACGAAAGCGUGGGGAGCGAACAGG